rnacentral:lncRNA from 1 species
CAUCAGGCGCCCACCUGGAGAAUGAGGGAAUUUAUUUCAAAGUUUUUUAAGUCAUCAGGCGCCCACCUGGAGAAUGAGGGAAUAUAUUUCAAGUUUUUAGGUCAUCAGGCGCCCACCUGGAGAAUGAGGGAAUUUAUUUCAAAGUUUUUUAAGUCAUCAGGCACCCACCUGGAGAAUGAGGGAAUAUAUUUUAAGUUUUUAGGUCAUCAGGCACCCACCUGGAGAACGAGGGAAUUUAUUUCAAGUUUUUAAUUCAUCAGGCACCCACCUGGAGAAUGAGGGAAUAUAUUUCAAGUUUUUAUGUCAUCAGGCGCCCACCUGGAGAACGAGGGAAUUCAUUUCAGUUUAAAGUCAUCAGGCGCCCACCUGGAGAACGAGGGAAGUCACUUAAGAAUUCAACCAAGUUAGAAGUAGCAAAAGUUCGCCUCGAGAAUGCGAGUUGACAGUCCGAGAUAACCAAAGGAAGAAGUCUCAAUCCAGAAUAAAAGGAAAAGGGUGAAUCCAAAAUGCAGAAGCCGAUGAAAGAUGUGAACUGCUCGAGACAUGGCUGAAGUCACAAGCUUUGCAUGUCCCGUCUUGAUCCGAAAAGCUGAAGAAGAGAGAACUAGCACUUGCAACUAGCAAACAUCAAGGUUUAAGUCAAAAGUCUGCAUGAAGAACCAUUCAAGACUCAAGAUCAAGCUUCAGAAGACUUAUAGAUAGGAAUCUUGUAACUCAUAGCUGACAGGCUUAGUUAGUCUUUUUUAUUUUUUUGAUUUUGAUGUAAUAACAGGAUCGCGGACCAGAACCUCGACGGAACGGCACCUCACUCGACUCUCUCAUCCUCUCCACACACUCCAUCCCUUCAUUCACCUCUUGAACUACACGCGACCUGAUUCCCUUAUAACCCGGGAUAUGUAGGUUGUCCAAAGUUAGGACUCGGUUGCACCUUUUCCCUUUUAUUUUCUUCCUCUUUUGAAUAACGUUGUGGUCAAAAAUUAGUCACACGGCUCACUUUGUCUUUGCCUGAAAACUCUUCAUGUUUCCAAGCAAAGAGGGGCAGCUGUAAGCACCUAAUUUUUUACCAUACUUGUGAUUUUUCAACACUUUUUAGUAUGUAAAUAAUUUUAAGUUUAAUCUACAUAUUUUAACCUUUAUUUCAUUUUUAGUAGGUUUUAUUUAAGAAAAUUAAAAAUCACAAAAAUUAUAUGUUCUUGAUUUUAAAAUAUUUAGCUAGUAUUUUUAUUUUACACUCUUAAAAGAAAAAAAAUUAUUAUUAAUUAAAGCAAGAAUCAAUGAGUCAUUUCCAUGUGGCAAGAUUCUUCCUUAUCUUUUGUAACAAACUCACAUGCUCUCCCUAACAAACUCACACGCCUAUCUACAUUUAUCAGAGAAUGGACUCUCCUCUCAAGAGGGAUUCUGCAUUUCUUAAAA